AAGUCGUAACAAGGUUUCCGUAGGUGAACCUGCGGAAGGAUCAUUAACAAAAUCCGUUGAUCGAUUUAUCGAUCAACACGAUCUUUUCCUUUGUGAACACACUGACAUACUGAUCAAUUGGGGCUUAAACAUGUCUGGCCAUCGGCUGGACGGCCCCAAAACAUCUUUAAAACCACUCUGAAUUGGACUGAUUUACAUGAAAAAUAAAUGUAAAAAAUAACUUUCAACAACGGAUCUCUUGGUUCUC
rnacentral:misc_RNA from 1 species